rnacentral:rRNA from 1 species
AUGUAAGCUUUGAUCCGAAAAUUUCCGAAUGGGGAAACCCACCACUUUAUGUGGUACUUUAAACUGAAUACAUAGGUUUAAAGAGACAACCUGGAGAACUGAAACAUCUAAGUAACCAGAGGAAAAGAAAUCAAUUGAGAUUCCGUUAGUAGUGGCGAGCGAACGCGGAGUAGGCCAGUAAUUUUGUUGAAAAAAUUUGAAUAGUUUGGAAAUGCUAACCAUAGAGGGUGAUAGUCCCGUAUGAGUAAUGUUUAACAAAAUUCUUGAGUAAAGCGGGACACGAGAAAUCCUGCUCGAAUAUAGGGGGACCACCCUCUAAGCCUAAAUACUCUUCAGUGACCGAUAGUGAACUAGUACCGUGAGGGAAAGGUGAAAAGAACCCCUAUUAGGGGAGUGAAAUAGAACCUGAAACUGCAUGCCUACAAUCAGUCCGAGCCCUUUUUAGGGUGAGGGCGUACCUUUUGUAUAAUGGGUCAGUGACUUAAUUUAUUAAGCAAGCUUAAGCCAUCUAGGUGUAGGCGCAGCGAAAGCAAGUCUUAAUAGGGCGAUUAGUUUAAUGAAUUAGACCCGAAAACGAAUGAGCUUACCAUGAGCAGGUUGAAAGUUGGGUAACACCAACCGGAGGACCGAACCAGUUGACGUUGAAAAGUCUUUGGAUGACUUGUGGUAAGGGGUGAAAGGCCAACCAAAUUCGUAGAUAGCUGGUUUUCCGCGAAAACUAUUUAGGUAGUGCGUCGAAUAAAUAGAUGUUUAGAGGUAGAGCACUAAAUGGGCUAGGGGGAAGAGAUUCUUACCAAACCUAAUAAAACUCCGAAUGCUAGACAUUGUUCUUCGGCAGACAGACUGUGGGUGCUAAGGUCCAUGGUCGAGAGGGAAAGAGCCCAGACCACCAGAUAAGGUCCCAAAAUCAUGAUUAAGUGUGAAAGGAUGUGGAAAUUCCAUAACAGCCGGGAGGUUGGCUUAGAAGCAGCCAUCCUUUAAAGAUAGCGUAACAGCUCACCGGUCUAAUAGAGUUUCUGCGCCGAAGAUGUAACGGGGCUAAAAUCAUGUACCGAAUCUGUGGCUUUACAAAGUUUUCGAAUUUUGUAAGGGGUAGCGGAACGUUCUGUAAGCCUGCGAAGGGAUACCCGUGAGGGAUCCUGGAGGUAUCAGAAGUGCGAAUGCUGACAUAAGUAACGAUAAACGAAGUGAAAAACUUCGUCGCCGAAAAUCUAAGGGUUUCUAUGCAAGGUUAAUCCGCGUAGAGUUAGUCGGCACCUAAGGCGAGGGCGAAAGCCGUAGUCGAUGGAAACAAGGUUAAUAUUCCUUGACCUGAUGGUAGUGACGGAUUUCGUAAGUUGUGAGUUCUUAAUGGAUUGAACUUGCCGCGAAGAGGUCCCAAGAAAUAGCUCCAUCAUUAAGACCGUACCCGAAACCGACACAGGUAGAUUAAUAGAGUAUAUUUAGGCGCUUGAGAGAAUGAUGUUGAAGGAACUCGGCAAAAUGCUUCCGUAACUUCGGGAUAAGGAAGACCCUUUUUUAGGCAACUAUAGAAGGGUGGCACAAGCCAGGGAGAAGCGACUGUUUAUCAAAAACACAGGGCUCUGCUAACACGUAAGUGGAUGUAUAGGGUCUGACGCCUGCCCGGUGCUGGAAGGUUAAUGCGGUUGGUGCAAGCUAACUUCUGAAGCCCCAGUAAACGGCGGCCGUAACUAUAACGGUCCUAAGGUAGCGAAAUUCCUUGUCGGGUAAGUUCCGACCUGCAUGAAUGGCGUAACGAUUUCUCCGCUGUCUCCAACAUCAACUCAGUGAAAUUGAAUUCUCCGUGAAGAUGCGGAGUUCGCGUAGUUAGACGGAAAGACCCCGUGCACCUUUACUGCAACUUUACAUUGGUGUUAGGAAAAGCAUAUUUAGCAUAGGAGGGAGACUUUGAAGCAAAAGCGUCAGCUUUUGUGGAGUCACCAGUGAAAUACCUCUUUUGUUUUUCUUGACAUCUAACCGCUAGCCGUCAUCCGGCAGCGAGACAUUGUAUGGUGGGUAGUUUGACUGGGGCGGUCGCCUCCCAAAUAGUAACGGAGGCGUGCGAAGGUAGGCUCAGAACGGUCAGAAAUCGUUCGUAGAGUGCAAUGG